UGAUCAGUUGGCUAGGUUGGAAGAUAUUAUAGAUGCAAAGAAGAUAGAUACACUUUACAAAGAUUUUGAACAUAAACAUGACUAAUAAUUUUUGUUCUCCCCUCGAAGAUCAGAGAGGAAAACAUGAAUUUCUGAUUGAGAUGACUGGUCACUUGGCUACACUUCAAUUUCUGGAGGGGAAGACUUUUGCAUUGGGGGUCAUAGCUUGAAUGUCGUUUUUUCUCCGAAUGGAACUCUGCUACAAUUGUGAGUAUUGGCCCGCCAAAGGAAGAGAAGAGAGAUGGAAAGAAGGAUAUGUCCAGUGAAAAUGCAUGGGUUAGAAUGCUCCUCAACUCAUUGUCAAGUCAGCAAAGUUGUAAGGUGUUCACCUUCAGAACCCAACAGCCCUUAUUGCAGCCGAAUACCUUGAUCUGGUCAAUUACACACGAAGAGUGUUGUGGGAGUCUACACUAAUGGCAUCACAAGAGGGCUCAAUCUAUUGUAUAGCAAAUAAAAUGUUUGGUGAAGUACUAACAGAAUUGGUCGGAUAUAAGCCAUCCAAGAUUUAUUUGAUUUUUUUAGAUUUGUCUAUGUUAUAUAUUUUAAAUUAUGUUAGAUUAUGUUAGAGAUUUUGUAUUAUCAACAAUUUACUAAUUGUAUGUAUAUAUAAGUUAUUAAUUCUAUUAAAGUGAGUUUAGAUA